rnacentral:rRNA from 1 species
GGCGUAGGGCGCGAGCGUUGUCCGGAUUUAUUGGGCGUAAAGAGCUCGUAGGCGGCUUGUCGCGUCGUCCGUGAAAACCCAGGGCUUAACCCUGGGCUUGCAGUGGAUACGGGCAGACUAGAGGCAGGUAGGGGAGAAUGGAAUUCCCGGUGUAGCGGUGAAAUGCGCAGAUAUCGGGAGGAACACCGGUGGCGAAGGCGGUUCUCUGGGCCUGACCUGACGCUGAGGAGCGAAAGCGUGGGGAGCGAACAGG